UCUCCUCUUAUCUUUCUUCUUAUUUAAUUUCUGUUAUAUAUUAACACCAACUAUAUUUAGUUGUUUAGUUGUAUCGGCAUAAUGUAGAAAAGAGUCAGCAUGAAAACACAGAAUGUUUGAGGUUAACUUCGAGGUUGAUUUCAAUGUACUAUUUUUUGUGACCUUGUUGAUCAUUCUAUUUCAACAGAUUAGGUUAAAACCUCGCUUUAAAUUAUGAGGAAUCCAAGGCACCGAACCAAUCAGAGAGCUUAUAAGUAUCAAGAGCAACAAAGGGUACCUGAAUGUUUUGAAGACGAUGACGAAUAUUCAUCUUCAGAAGAAGAACGAUUUUCCUGUGAUUGUGGUAGUUGUGCUAUGGGUAGAUGGCGUGAUCGGAUAGCGAAGGAACGGAACUCGGACGAUUGGAUGUCGGUAGAUUCUGCUGACGACGAAACAAAUAACUCCCCCCAUCAGUUUUUGAAGUGAAACACCGCUAUCAAAUGCUUAACCAGAAAGAAACAUCCAUGGAUACAAUUGAAGACACGGAAGAACCACAAAAAUGUUUAAAUCGAGUACAAGAAGAAGAAGAAGUUAUUGCCCUCUUAGAAUCCUCUAAAGAAGAUAUUCUCAAUGACAAAUUGGUAGAAGAUGAAAGUGAUUGGAAUGUACAUCAUAGUAAAUAUGUCAAAAAAACAAAUGAAGAUCAGCAAGAGUCUUUCUAUUUUCAACCUGGCUGUACAGAAGUGGAUUCAUGGUGUAAGGAUGAAAGACAGGCCAGUGGAAGUUCGUCUUAUGACGAUGAGAUUUCGAUUAUAAAUACUGAUGGUUUCUUUAGAAAGAAUAGAAAAGCAGGAUAUGGAGUUGUUGUACGUAGUCGCUCUGGUGUGCCAUUGGUUGGUUCUGCUGGAGUUUAUACUCAUGGAAAACCAGUUUCACCACUUUAUCAUGAGUUGCAAGGAAUAAAUAGAGGUUUAGAGCUUGCGAUAAAGUAUGGACUUUGUCAAAAAAGUCGUGGUUUAUUGUUCCUCAUAUCUUGCUGCUGAUCUUACCGAAUCAAGGUUUCGUUGUACCUGUGCUGGUAGAUACCAUAAUUCAACAUUCCACAUUGUUUGCAAGAUAUGUACCAAAGACUAUAUUCCUGAAUGUAGUGAGGAAGAUUUUCAACUACUGAUGUAUCCUCUCAUUCAGGAAAUCGUGGAUAAUUCCUAUAUGUUUUCUUUUACCGUUUAUGACAUUAAAAGAAUACAGAAUAGAGCUGCAGAUUAUCUUGCAAAACUUCAGUUAAACAAUGAGGAGAUAAACCCACGAGAGCUUCCACAGGAACUGAAAGCCAUUCUUUACGAUGAUGCACAAGGCGGUGAUUUGAUGCCCAUCAUUCAGCGUGAAAGGGCCUGGUGGCUGCAGAAUCAGUAAUGGAUACAAACCAGCUUGAUUAGUUGAUUAAUCAUUCACAUGCAUAUGCUUAUUAGCAAAGCAUCUUCUGGAUUAUGAGGGUGUUGCUUAAGGCUGUCAGCAGAUUCAAUGAUAUAAGUUGGCUUAUUCAAUUUUGAACUAAGAGGACUGCCAAUAAAACACCACGGGCUUCUGCAGCAACCAAAGGAAGGCCUUGAUUGAGGAGGAGGGAGUUACUGUGAUAAGACCACGUCUUAUCGGUCACGUCAACGAUUUGUUC